GACGAACGCUGGCGGCGUGCCUAAUACAUGCAAGUAGAACGCUGAAGGAGGAGCUUGCUCUUCUGGAUGAGUUGCGAACGGGUGAGUAACGCGUAGGUAACCUGCCUGGUAGCGGGGGAUAACUAUUGGAAACGAUAGCUAAUACCGCAUAACAGUAGAUGUUGCAUGACAUUUACUUAAAAGGUGCAAUUGCAUCACUACCAGAUGGACCUGCGUUGUAUUAGCUAGUUGGUGGGGUAACGGCUCACCAAGGCGACGAUACAUAGCCGACCUGAGAGGGUGAUCGGCCACACUGGGACUGAGACACGGCCCAGACUCCUACGGGAGGCAGCAGUAGGGAAUCUUCGGCAAUGGACGGAAGUCUGACCGAGCAACGCCGCGUGAGCGAAGAAGGUUUUCGGAUCGUAAAGCUCUGUUGUAAGAGAAGAACGAGUGUGAGAGUGGAAAGUUCACACUGUGACGGUAUCUUACCAGAAAGGGACGGCUAACUACGUG
rnacentral:rRNA from 1 species